GUAUUGUGGUGCUAAGCCAUUCAGUGAUUUAUAAACUAACAACAGUAUUUUAAAGUCUAUUCUUUGAGCUACAGGGAGCCAGUGUAGGGACUUUAAAACUGUAUCUUCCUGUAUGUAUUAUUCUGCCCAGAAUAAUAUAUUUCUGGGCAGAAAUUGAUUGUUCAACUGAUCAACAGCAGACUGAUCUGCUGGAGUCAGUCAGAGCAUUUCCAUAGAGCAACUUUGCAUCAACAGCUCCAUGCUCCAGUGCUCUGGGAGAGUUUAUAGUCCUGACAGUUGAACAUUGGAUGACUGACAGCUGUCCUUCAUCACAACAGAAGACACAGAAAUCCUCCUCAUCACAAAUAUGACUUUGAUCUGCGUCCUCAUCUGGACUCUCCUCUGCUGCUGCUUCACAGAGGUCAGAGGUCAGGUCACAGUGACUCAGCAGCCUGUAGCAGUGAGAGCUGAUCUGGGAAGAUCUAUCAGCAUCAACUGUAGAACCAGUCAGAAUGUUCUUGUGGACAGCAAUGGCCACUAUUUAGCCUGGUACCAACAGAAAGAUGGACAAACUCCUAAGCUUCUCAUUUAUUUGUCUAGCACUAAAGCAUCAGGGACUCCAAGUCGUUUCUCAGGCAGUGGAUCAAACUCUGACUUCACUCUGACCAUCAGUGGAGUUCAGGCUGAAGAUGCUGCAGUUUACUACUGUCAGAGUCUUCAUAACAUUGGGAGUCAGUGGCCACGCACACAGUGAAAAACAGUCGUACAAAAACCUUCCUCGAUCAAACUGAACUGAAACUCAAGUUUCAGUGCAAUGACAGUGGCAGCUGGAAGCUGCAGUAAAGACAGACAUAAUUAAAUGAACACAAGUUGGAGCGUACUCAAAGACUAGCUUAUAGCAAUUGAUAAGCUGAGUGAGGCUUAAGAAGGGGAACAAUCAGGGAGUGACAGGUGCAAGGAAUAAAAGUAAUGAGGAAAAUGACAUUGAUUGGCUCUAAACAAACGACACAGAGCAUCAUGUGAACAUCACAGCAUGAAGCUCAAAGCAUAUUAGUAAGUCCAUUGAAGAGCAACUCUGAAUAAAUGGUGUGGUGUUCUAUUUUGUUUAGGUAGAAUACUUAGUAUUAUCUGUUGUUUCAAGAGUAAAAUAAUGUUAAUCUUUAUUUUAAAAUAAAUGUUUACAUAUUGAUGCCUAAUCUUGUUUAAUUAGUGGAAAAUAAAGUGAUUUAAUUACAUGUAAA